GACGAACGCUGGCGGCGUGCUUAACACAUGCAAGUCGAACGAUGAACCUGCUUCGGUGGGGGAUUAGUGGCGAACGGGUGAGUAACACGUGGGUAAUCUGCCCUGCACUUCGGGACAAGCCCUGGAAACGGGGUCUAAUACCGGAUAUGACCACUGGCCGCAUGGUUUGGUGGUGGAAAGCUCCGGCGGUGCAGGAUGAGCCCGCGGCCUAUCAGCUUGUUGGUGAGGUAGUGGCUUACCAAGGCGACGACGGGUAGCCGGCCUGAGAGGGCGACCGGCCACACUGGGACUGAGACACGGCCCAGACUCCUACGGGAGGCAGCAGUGGGGAAUAUUGCACAAUGGGCGCAAGCCUGAUGCAGCGACGCCGCGUGGGGGAUGACGGCCUUCGGGUUGUAAACCUCUUUCAGCAGGGAACAAGCUUCGCUUUUUGGUGGGGUGAGCGUACCUGCAGAAGAAGCGCCGGCUAACUACGUGCCAGCAGCCGCCGUAACAC
rnacentral:rRNA from 1 species